rnacentral:rRNA from 1 species
UCCAGAGGUCUCAACCGUUGUUCGGAUUCAUUGGGCGUAAAGGGUGCGUAGGCGGUCGCGCAAGUCGGAUGUGAAAUCUCAGGGCUCAACCCUGAAACUGCAUUCGAUACUGCGUGGCUAGAGUACUGGAGAGGAGACUGGAAUUUACGGUGUAGCAGUGAAAUGCGUAGAUAUCGUAAGGAAGACCAGUGGCGAAGGCGAGUCUCUGGACAGUAACUGACGCUGAGGCACGAAGGCCAGGGGAGCAAACGGG